CCUACGGGAGGCUGCAGUGAGGAAUAGUGGUCAAUGGACGCAAGUCUGAACCAGCCAUGCCGCGUGCAGGAAGACGGCUCUAUGAGUUGUAAACUGCUUUUGUACGAGGGUAAAGGGAGAUACGCGGAUCGGUCUGAAAGUAUCGUACGAAUAAGGAGCGGCUAACUCCGUGCCAGCAGCCGCGGUAAUACGGAGGCUACAAGCGUUAUCCGGAUUUAUUGGGGUUAAUGGGUGCGUAGGCGGUCGGAUAAGUUAGAGGUGAAAUCCCGAGGCUCAACUUCGGAAUUGCCUCUGAUACUGUUCGGCUAGAGUGUAGUUGCGGUCGGCGGAAUGUAUGGUGUAGCGG
rnacentral:rRNA from 1 species